AUUGCAGAACACAUUGAACAUCGAUAUCUUGAACGCAUAUGGCGGCCUCGGGUCCAUCCCGAGGCCACGCCCGUCUGAGGGUCGGCU
rnacentral:rRNA from 2 species